rnacentral:lncRNA from 1 species
UAAUAAAAAAGAUAUAAAUAAAAGUAUUUGUGGGUUUACCAUUCUUGUUUACUUUGCUAGUUUGUAAAACAAUGUAUUUUUUCAUUUUACAGGAAGUAUCUGUCUAUUGUAGGAAGUUUGGCAAAAUAAAUCUAAUAAAUAAAAAAGCCCCGAGCUUGAUGUAGAAGACUAUCAUAUGAACCAGAGAGGGUAACUGAACCCAAAGAAAUGACUCCAACAUCAAGCUAAAGACACGCCUUACAGGAUGAGGAGGAGCAGAAAUCCCACCAGCAAGGCAAGAAAGAAGCUGCACAUGAACAGCCUCUGCUUUAGGCCCAGAAGGAAAAGAAGUUACAGGAGCCGAUCGCCGAUCAGUCUUACACUCUUCCAUGAUCAUAAUCAAGAGGUCCCUGGAUCUAGAGAAAUGAAAGAGAGCACUAGAGCAAAAUGAAUCCUGGAACUGGAAUGGAAUGCCUGGAUUUGGAAGACCCAGUGUAAGGAAGCGUCACAGUUGGGAAGCAUCCUGGCCAUGCCAUGGUAAAGGUAUGCCUCAUGGCAAGUUAUUUAGCUUUUCUGAGAUUUCAUGAAGUGAGAAUGGUAUUAAAUUUGUCACAGGAUUAAGUAACUUAAACAUAUUUAAUUCCUAGCCUGAAACCUGGAGCAACUAACUUGAUAAAUGUUAGUCCUCUUUUUGCCUUUUCUGACUUUUUGUUUUAUUAUUGUUUGCUUGCUUGUAGAUGUAUUUUUUAAUGCUAUAGAACAAAGAAUGAGUUUUUAGAAAGCAAGACGACAUUUAUACAAAAGUCCUUAAGCUGCAUUUUUUACCUAAUAAUUUCCUUUAUGUAAAUGUGUGCUAAAAUGAUGGUUGAAACUAAAAAACACAGAGCUAUAGACAUGGCAAUCCAUCAUUGCUUCAAAUAUGUCCUUCCUGGACAUUUUGCCGUUUGCCUUAUUUUAAAAAGCACAUACUUUCUUCAUCCUUAUUUUUAAAAAUCAUUUAUUUGUGUUAUUUGCGUCUUAUUUUCCUAUUAAUGUUUUGAUACAGUCAGAUUAUUUCCUUCUUCAAAUCAUUAAAAAAAAUAGACCAGUUAAGCCCCCUGGGCCUAACAUGAAUCACUGCCUUCUAAAAAAAAAAAAAAAAUGUCAAACAGUCUUAUUUCUUUAAUCUAUGCAGACAUUUUUUCCAG